rnacentral:rRNA from 1 species
UACGGAGGGUGCGAGCGUUGUCCGGAAUCACUGGGCGUAAAGGGCGCGUAGGCGGCUUUCUAAGUCGGGGGUGAAAUCCUGGAGCUCAACUCCAGAACUGCCUUCGAUACUGGAGAGCUCGAGUCCGGGAGAGGUGAGUGGAACUGCGAGUGUAGAGGUGAAAUUCGUAGAUAUUCGCGAGAACACCAGUGGCGAAGGCGGCUCACUGGCCCGGUACUGACGCUGAGGUGCGAAAGCGUGGGGAGCAAACAGG